rnacentral:rRNA from 1 species
CCCGGUCGACCGUUCACGGACGUGAACGCUUAGGUACUACACGGCUUAACGACGAACUGCAAGUCGAGGGGCCGUAGCGGGAGUUCGUAAGACCGUAGUCGGUCCAAUUUGCCGGCGACCGGUACGCACGGGNGUAGUAACGACGUAGCCCUAACCGUUUCCGACGUUACUUACGGGCGUAACGCGUUUCGAAAGUAAACGGAUUAAGUACCCGAUGGGUAUCUUUAAGNGACGUCGAUGUAGUGUUAAAGAUUAAAGAUUAUCGGUAACGACGACUCGGGGAGUGGCGGUUCCAGUUAGGCAGUUGGCCGGGUAAGGGCCCUACCAAACCUACGACUGGAUAGGGGUUCAGAGUAGGAAGGUACCCCCACAUUGGGAACUGAGACCACGGUCCUAAACUCCUACCCGGGAAGGCAGCAAUAGAGGUAUAUUGGGUACAAUGGGCCGAGAGCCUGAACCAGCCAAGUAGCGUCAGGAUGAGUCAUGAUGAACUCUUAGAGGANACGGGCGCUAGUGUGNGNUCCUUAUCCCCCUAGUGUCGUCCUUGACCUACCACGACUCGGCUAACUCCGUGCCAGCAGCCGCGGUAAUACGGAGGAUGCGAGCGUUAU